rnacentral:rRNA from 1 species
CAGCCGCCGCGGUAAUACGAAGGGUGCAAGCGUUACUCGGAAUUACUGGGCGUAAAGCGUGCGUAGGUGGUUGUUUAAGUCUGCUGUGAAAGCCCUGGGCUCAACCUGGGAAUUGCAGUGGAUACUGGGCAACUAGAGUAAGGUAGAGGAUAGUGGAAUUUCCGGUGUAGCAGUGAAAUGCGUAGAGAUCGGAAGGAACAUCUGUGGCGAAGGCGACUAUCUGGGCCAUUACUGACACUGAGGCACGAAAGCGUGGGGAGCAAACAGGAUUAGAUACCCCGGUAGUCCCUGUCUCUUAUAC